AAGGACUACAAUUCCCAUCAGCCCCUGCCAGCAUGGCCAAUUGGCUGAUGGGAAUUGUAGUCCUUAACAUCUGGAGUGCCAAAGGUUCGCCACCACUGAUUUAAGAGGCCGCAGCAGCUCAAGUCUGUGCCUGGAGUCGCUGUCGUUUCAUUUAACCCCCGCCUGCCCAUCCGGCACUCCCUGUCCAGUGUUUGCCCUGCCCACUGUUGGUCUGUGCAGCUUCCACAUUGCCUGGAAUGACCGCUCUUCUCCGGGGUUCAGUUCCCCUGGAAUCGAGGAGGGUGGCCCGAAUGGCCUCGUGCCCCUGUGAGGUUGCUCUCCUCUACAAACCCUGCCCUUAUGAGGCUCCGCCUCCAAAUCUCCAGGAAUUUCCUAACCCACAGUUGGCAUCCCUAGGCUGGUGCCGUGGCCUCUGCCCACCGGUUUGAGAUCCCCGUCUCUGCUGGCCGUCCCUCUUACGUGCAGCAUUUAAAUCUGCCGCAAUCUCCCCGGCACCGUUCAAAAGGCCUGGAACGCUUCGCCCUUGUUAGAUUUUUUUGUCUCUGGUGGGAAACAAAGAUGCUUUGCCAGAGAGACAGCAGGUGGUUCUUAGUGAGGUCACACCUUCAUAGGUGUACGAGUGUACGGUGAAUGCCAUCUAAAAUGUGACAUUCCCUUCGGCUGCGUCCACAGGAACGUUUCAACCCAAAGCUAACUCCAGAACAACUGAACAAGAGCCUAUGACAGUGGACAUCCCUGUCUGUGGAUCUCUGGAGAGGGACAGUUUUCUUGGGAGAUUUUUGGUGAGAAGUUGUGUAUUUCUGUUCCAUAAAAAAAAAAAAACAGUUUCCAAA